ACCACGUGAUCAUCCACGUGAGCAGUGCAAGUUCGCUGAGAAAAGUAGGAGCUGCAGAUCCCCGAGACAACAAAGUGCAGAGCUGGAUGAACACCGCAGGCCAAGCAGCAUCAGUGAAGCAGGAAAGCUGACGUUUCGGGCCCAGCUCCUUCGCUGAGACCAAGAUUUGUGCAAUUGAGAUACCAGCGAUCGUUGCCAAAGCCCUGUUACUUGUGGAGAAGGUCAUGUUUAACUUCUGUGUGCUGCUGCAGUUCAUAUGAUGAAGGUGCUCCCACAAUGCGGUCAUUUGAGAAGUUACAGAUCAUUCAUCGAGCGAUACUGAAGAGCUGAUGGUGAUAUUACAAGUGGACUUGCAGGUGGGAAACUCAAUAAUUGUAACACCAAACUCUGACAGAAUUAUUCAAUUCAUCAACAUCUGGAUAUUUGCAUUGUGUAUUUCCACAAUUUUACUUCUGCACUGUUCUUAACCUUUUGAUCCCUCUGAAAGACUGAGUUACAAUGCCUGUCCUUCCUCCCUGGCUCUCCCACCUCUCUUUCAGUAGUUUUGUGCAAAUACUGACUGGAUCCCUUACCUGGAGGAUAUUUAUUUGAAUUUGUUCUAAUGAUGAUCCAGCAUAUUUCCCAAGUGUCGCUCCAUAAAUGUCCAGAGGAUUUCUCGAUUUCACAAUCUGUGGUUGUUCUUCUGGUUUCUCACUCACUGCACUUACUUUCUGUUUGAAAGCUUAGUCUGCAAUUGGAGAAUUCAAACAGGUCCACAUCCAGCUCUGACAGUCACUUUGUUUAUCACAAACCAGUUACCUCAGGAUUUUGAACAUUGGAGGAAAAAGCAGCAUUCACACUGGGGAGAAAUGCACAUGGUCUGUAAAGAGUCUGUGAAGAUUCAUCUGAAAUGUCCGAACACCAGCGCAGUGACACUGGGGAGAGACUGUGGAAAUGUGCAGGUUGCAGGAAGGAAUUUUUAAAAUCCAUCCCAGCUAGAAACUGACCACCAGAGUCACACUGGAGAGAAACCAUUCACCUGCUCUGAUUGUGGAAUGGGAUUCACUCAGUCAUCUAACCUGCUUAAACACUACUGAGUUCGCACUGUAGAGAAACCAUUUACAUGCUUGAAAUGUGGGAAAGCAUUCACUCAGACAUCUCAACCGCUGAUGCACUAGCGAAUUCACACUGGAGACAGACCGUUGGCCUGUUCUGCGUGAGGGAAAGGCUUUGCUGACUCGAAUUGCCCGCUGAUACACCAGCGACUUCACUCUGGGGAGUGACCAUUCAUCUGCUCCCAGUGUGGGAAGGGAUUCACUUGCUCACCCAACCUGCAGAGCGUUCACACUGGGGAGAAACCAUUCACCUGCUCUAAAUUUGUGAAAGCAUUCACUUUGUCGUCCUACCUGCUCGUGUUCCAGCAGGUUCAUACUAGGGGGGGACCAUUCAUGAGCUCUGAGUGGGGGGAAAGCAUUCACUCAGUUAUCCAAACUGCUAACACACCAGCGAGUUCACAAAGAAGCACAGUUGAAGGAUUUUGCUGUCACACUCACAAUCAAAUGAACCAUGGUGUUGGGCUGUUUGUACUGAUGUUACUGAUCCCUGCUCAAUUAAACGUGCUGGUAUUGCAGAUAAAAUGUUAAUAA